rnacentral:rRNA from 1 species
AUUGAACGCUGGCGGCAGGCUUAACACAUGCAAGUCGAGCGGUAGCACAGGGGAGCUUGCUCCCUGGGUGACGAGCGGCGGACGUGUGAGUCAUGUCUGGGAAACUGCCUGAUGGAGGGGGAUAACUACUGGAAACGGUAGCUAAUACCGCAUAACGUCGCAAGCCCAAAGAGGGGGACCUUCGGGCCUCUUGCCAUCAGAUGUGCCCAGAUGGGAUUAGCUAGUAGGUGGGGUAAUGGCUCACCUAGGCGACGAUCCCUAGCUGGUCUGAGAGGAUGACCAGCCAAACUGGAACUGAGACACGGGCCAGACUCCUACGGGAGGCAGCAGUGGGGAAUAUUGCACAAUGGGCGCAAGCCGGAUGCAGCCAUGCCGCGGGUGGGAAGAAGGCCUUCGGGUUGUAAAGCACUUGCAGCGAGGAGGAAGGUGGUGAGCUUAAUACGCUCAUCAAUUGACGUUACUCGCAGAAGAAGCACCGGCUAACUCCGUGC